UACGAAGGGGGCUAGCGUUGUUCGGGAAUUACUGGGCGUAAAGCGCCACGUAGGCGGACUAUUAAGUCAGGGGUGAAAUCCCGGGGCUCAACCCCCGGAACUGCCUUUGAUACUGGUAGUCUCGAGUCCGGAAGAGGUGAGUGGAAUUCCGAGUGUAGAGGUGAAAUUCGUAGAUAUUCGGAGGGAACACCCAGUGGCGAAGGCGGCUCACUGGUCCGGUACUGACGCUGAGGCGCGAAAGCCAGGGGAGCAAACGGG
rnacentral:rRNA from 1 species